CAAAAACAUGUCUUUUUGAUUAUAAUUUAAAGUCUAACCUGCCCAAUGAGGAGUUAAAUGGCCGCGGUAUUUUGACCGUGCAAAGGUAGCAUAAUCAUUAGUUUUUUAAUUGAAAGCUGGUAUGAAUGGUUGGACGAGAAAAUAACUGUCUCGAUUUAAAUUAAAUUAGAAUUUUAUUUAUGAGUAAAAAAGCUCAUAUGAGUUUAAAAGACGAGAAGACCCUAUAGAAUUUAAUAUAUGUAUAUAUAUAUUAUUUUUAGACAUUAAUAAUAAGUUAUAUAUAAUUAUAUUUUGUUGGGGUGAUAGAAAAAUUAAAUUAACUUUUUUUGUAUAAAAACAUUAAUUUAUGAAAAAAUGAUCCGUUAAUUACGAUUAUAAGAUUAAAUUACCUUAGGGAUAACAGCGUAAUUUUUUUUUAGAGUUCUUAUCGAAAAAAGAGUUUGCGACCUCGAUGUUGGAUUAAAAUUAACUUUUGGUGUAGGGGCU
rnacentral:rRNA from 1 species